rnacentral:rRNA from 1 species
UACGUAGGGGGCAAGCGUUGUCCGGAAUCAUUGGGCGUAAAGCGCGUGUAGGCGGCUGGGCAAGUCCGCUCUGAAAGCCCGAGGCUCAACCUCGGGAGGCGAGUUGGAUACUGCUCAGCUCGAGUCCGGAAGAGGAGUGUGGAAUUCCGUGGUGUAGCGGUGAAAUGCGCAGAUAUCAGGAGGAACACCAAUUGCGAAGGCAGCACUCUGGGACGUGACUGACGCUGAGACGCGAAAGCGUGGGGAGCAAACAGG